CAGCCGCCGCGGGAAUACGUAGGUGGCAAGCGUUGCCCGGAAUUAUUGGGCGUAAAGGGCUCGCAGGCGGUUUCUUAAGUCUGAUGUGAAAGCCCCCGGCUCAACCGGGGAGGGUCAUUGGAAACUGGGAAACUUGAGUGCAGAAGAGGAGAGUGGAAUUCCACGUGUAGCGGUGAAAUGCGUAGAGAUGUGGAGGAACACCAGUGGCGAAGGCGGCCCCCUGGACAAAGACUGACGCUCAGGUGCGAAAGCGUGGGGAGCAAACAGGAUUAGAUACCCGCGUAGUCCCUGUCUCUUAUAC
rnacentral:rRNA from 1 species